GGGUAACGGGGUGUUAGGGCACGACACCGGAGAGGGAGCCUGAGAAACGGCUACCACAUCCAAGGAUGGCAGCAGGCGCGCAAAUUACCCAAUCCCGACACGGGGAGGUAGUGACAAUAAAUAACAAUACGGGGUUCUUUCGGAUCUCGUAAUUGGAAUGAGUACAAUCUAAAUCUCUUAACGAGGAACAAUUGGAGGGCAAGUCUGGUGCCAGCAGCCGCGGUAAUUCCAGCUCCAAUAGCGUAUAUUAAAGUUGUUGCAGUUAAAAAGCUCGUAGUUGAAUUUCGGGAUCAAAUUGUCGGUCGUGCCUCGGUACGUACUGGCGUUAUUGGUUCCUCCCUUCUGAAGAACCGCGAUGUCAUUAAUUUGGUGUCGCGGGGAAUCAGGACUGUUACUUUGAAAAAAUUAGAGUGUUUAAAGCAGGCUCGCGCUUGAAUACAUUAGCAUGGAAUAAUGAAAUAGGACGUUUGAUUCUAUUUUGUUGGUUUCUAGGAUCGACGUAAUGAUUAAUAGGGAUAGUUGGGGGCAUUAGUAUUCAAUUGUCAGAGGUGAAAUUCUUGGAUUUAUUGAAGACUAACUACUGCGAAAGCAUUUGCCAAGAUGUUUUCAUUAAUCAAGAACGAAAGUUAGGGGAUCGAAGACGAUCAGAUACC
rnacentral:rRNA from 1 species